rnacentral:lncRNA from 1 species
CCCUUAUUGACCAAAUAUAGGUUGUUAAAUGUCUUUAGGAAAGAACAAGACCCUAAUAUUCACCAAAUAAAGAUUGUUGAAUGUCUUUAGGAAAGAACAAGACCCUUAUUGACCAAAUAUAGGUUGUUGAACGUCUUUAGGAAAGAACAAGAGCCUUAUUGACCAAAUAUAGGUUGUUAACUGUCUUUAGGAAAGAACAAGACCCUUAUUGACAAAAAUAUAGGUUGUUGAACGUCUUUAGGAAAGAACAAGACCAUUAUUCACCAAAAAUAGGUUGUUGAACGUCUUUAGGAAAGAACAAGACCCUUAUUCACCAAAUAUAGGUUGUUCAAUGUCUUUAGGAAAGAACAAGACCCUUAUUUCAACCAAAUAUAGGUUGUUGAACGUCUUUAGGAAAGAACAAGAGCCUUAUUGACCAAAUAUAGGUUGUUGAACGUCUUUAGGAAAGAAACAAGACCCUUAUUGACCAAAAAUAUAGGUUGUUAACGUCUUUAGGAAAGAACAAGAGCCUUAUUGACCAAAUAUAGGUUGUUGAACGUUUUAGGAAAGAACAAGCCUUAUUGACCAAAAAUAUAGGUUGUUGAACGUCUUUAGGAAAGAACAAGACCCUUAUUGACCAAAUAUAGGUUAAAGACCCUUAUUGACCAAAUAUAGGUUGUUAAAUGUCUUUAGGAAAGAACAAGACCCUAAUAUUCACCAAAUAUAGAUUGUUGAAUGUCUUUAGGAAAGAACAAGACCCUUAUUCACCAAAUAUAGGUUGUUAAACGUCUUUAGGAAAGAACAAGACCCUUAUUUU